GAUGAACGCUGGCGGCGUGCCUAAUACAUGCAAGUCGAGCGAACGGACGAGAAGCUUGCUUUUCUGAUGUUAGCGGCGGACGGGUGAGUAACACGUGGAUAACCUACCUAUAAGACUGGGAUAACUUCGGGAAACCGGAGCUAAUACCGGAUAAUAUUUUGAACCGCAUGGUUCAAAAGUGAAAGACGGUCUUGCUGUCACUUAUAGAUGGAUCCGCGCUGCAUUAGCUAGUUGGUAAGGUAACGGCUUACCAAGGCAACGAUGCAUAGCCGACCUGAGAGGGUGAUCGGCCACACUGGAACUGAGACACGGUCCAGACUCCUACGGGAGGCAGCAGUAGGGAAUCUUCCGCAAUGGGCGAAAGCCUGACGGAGCAACGCCGCGUGAGUGAUGAAGGUCUUCGGAUCGUAAAACUCUGUUAUUAGGGAAGAACAUAUGUGUAAGUAACUGUGCACAUCUUGACGGUACCUAAUCAGAAAGCCACGGCUAACUACGUGCCAGCAGCCGCGGUAAUACGUAGGUGGCAAGCGUUAUCCGGAAUUAUUGGGCGUAAAGCGCGCGUAGGCGGUUUUUUAAGUCUGAUGUGAAAGCCCACGGCUCAACCGUGGAGGGUCAUUGGAAACUGGAAAACUUGAGUGCAGAAGAGGAAAGUGGAAUUCCAUGUGUAGCGGUGAAAUGCGCAGAGAUGUGGAGGAACACCAGUGGCGAAGGCGACUUUCUGGUCUGUAACUGACGCUGAUGUGCGAAAGCGUGGGGAUCAAACAGGAUUAGAUACCCUGGUAGUCCACGCCGUAAACGAUGAGUGCUAAGUGUUAGGGGGUUUCCGCCCCUUAGUGCUGCAGCUAACGCAUUAAGCACUCCGCCUGGGGAGUACGACCGCAAGGUUGAAACUCAAAGGAAUUGACGGGGGCCCGCACAAGCGGUGGAGCAUGUGGUUUAAUUCGAAGCAACGCGAAGAACCUUACCAAAUCUUGACAUCCUUUGACAACUCUAGAGAUAGAGCCUUCCCCUUCGGGGGACAAAGUGACAGGUGGUGCAUGGUUGUCGUCAGCUCGUGUCGUGAGAUGUUGGGUUAAGUCCCGCAACGAGCGCAACCCUUAAGCUUAGUCGCCAUCAUUAAGUUGGGCACUCUAAGUUGACUGCCGGUGACAAACCGGAGGAAGGUGGGGAUGACGUCAAAUCAUCAUGCCCCUUAUGAUUUGGGCUACACACGUGCUACAAUGGACAAUACAAAGGGCAGCGAAACCGCGAGGUCAAGCAAAUCCCAUAAAGUUGUUCUCAGUUCGGAUUGUAGUCUGCAACUCGACUACAUGAAGCUGGAAUCGCUAGUAAUCGUAGAUCAGCAUGCUACGGUGAAUACGUUCCCGGGUCU
rnacentral:rRNA from 1 species